UUAUGGUGGGCUGGAUGGGGGAACCGAAAGGUUCGCCGGGUUCGUUGAUGGCCGGUAAGACCAACUCCAUUCAGCUCACCACCA
rnacentral:antisense_RNA from 1 species